AGAGUUUGAUCCUGGCUCAGGACGAACGCUGGCGGCGUGCCUAAUACAUGCAAGUAGAACGCUGAAGAGAGGAGCUUGCUCUUCUUGGAUGAGUUGCGAACGGGUGAGUAACGCGUAGGUAACCUGCCUGGUAGCGGGGGAUAACUAUUGGAAACGAUAGCUAAUACCGCAUAAAAUUGAUUAUUGCAUGAUAAUUAAUUGAAAGAUGCAAUUGCAUCACUACCAGAUGGACCUGCGUUGUAUUAGCUAGUUGGUGAGGUAACGGCUCACCAAGGCGACGAUACAUAGCCGACCUGAGAGGGUGAUCGGCCACACUGGGACUGAGACACGGCCCAGACUCCUACGGGAGGCAGCAGUAGGGAAUCUUCGGCAAUGGGGGGAACCCUGACCGAGCAACGCCGCGUGAGUGAAGAAGGUUUUCGGAUCGUAAAGCUCUGUUGUAAGAGAAGAACGGGUGUGAGAGUGGAAAGUUCACACUGUGACGGUAUCUUACCAGAAAGGGACGGCUAACUACGUGCCAGCAGCCGCGGUAAUACGUAGGUCCCGAGCGUUGUCCGGAUUUAUUGGGCGUAAAGCGAGCGCAGGCGGUUAGAUAAGUCUGAAGUUAAAGGCUGUGGCUUAACCAUAGUAUGCUUUGGAAACUGUUUAACUUGAGUGCAGAAGGGGAGAGUGGAAUUCCAUGUGUAGCGGUGAAAUGCGUAGAUAUAUGGAGGAACACCGGUGGCGAAAGCGGCUCUCUGGUCUGUAACUGACGCUGAGGCUCGAAAGCGUGGGGAGCAAACAGGAUUAGAUACCCUGGUAGUCCACGCCGUAAACGAUGAGUGCUAGGUGUUAGGCCCUUUCCGGGGCUUAGUGCCGCAGCUGACGCAUUAAGCACUCCGCCUGGGGAGUACGACCGCAAGGUUGAAACUCAAAGGAAUUGACGGGGGCC
rnacentral:rRNA from 1 species